rnacentral:lncRNA from 1 species
CACACUAUGGCUACAAUCUAAUUCAGAAUUUGGUGUGCUUUAAUCAAGUUGAUUUCAGUCCAUAUCUACUUAUGGAGCAGGCCAUGUAGAGUGAUGUAGUUCAGCAUUCAGAGAGAGCUUUGAGAUAGGUAACCAUUUAGGAGAUAAAUUUAUUGCACAGAAACAAAUACAGUAAUCACAAUGUUAAGACUGCUUCCAGGUGACAAUCCUCCCAUGUGCUCAUCUGGGCCAGUAAGACGAGUGGAGCUAUAAAGUGUCCUGGAGCAGGCAGGCAUUGCUCAUUCCAUACUUCUCCUGUACCAGCUUCCAUGUGCCAUGCAGAUCAGGACUCACUAGACUACAGAAGCAGGAAGCAUCAGAAUGCCUCUGGGGUCUCUAGUUAGAGCUGUCGGCAACUGUGCUAAGAGAGAGGUAGUAAUGAAGGCAGCGAUCUUCUGAGGGAAUACCAAAUAGGAAAACAAUGGACUACAAGUUGAGAUGACAGACACACAGGCAAGCUCUCAUUAGCAGAAGGACUGGGUGAAAAAGCAGAAAGGAAGAAGCCACUGAGAAGGUUGAGACAGCUACUGUAAGUGUGGAAUGUAACAAGCUGAAGAAGACACCUCACCAUAAAUCUGUGUGGCGCUACCUUGUGUGCUGAAGAGAGGAAGAGAAGGAGAAGCACAGGAAGUCUUCUCUGAGUCUGAGACUGCUUCAGGUGACAAACACUGACCUUCAACUUACAAACACCUUCAGUUGAAGCAAUUGACAUGCUUUAAUCGGAAUGCAUCCAUGGGUUUAUAAGCGACAAAGCAGAAUGACAAUGACUGAAUACAAACAGUGCUCUUUAUGCCAAGGUAGUUCACUGAAUUUCAUUUUAGGUCUUUUCCUUAUCAUCAGGGUUUCCUGUUGUAUCUUUCUGCAUUUUGUUUCCAGACUGAUUGAUGCUCUCCUUUGCUUCUCUUUCAGCUGCCAUGAGCACCACCAUAAAUACAAAUGCAAAUGUUGAUUAGGAAGUCCAACUGCAAUAGAAGGAAAUAGAUACUUCCAUCACUGCUGUGAGUGGCCACAAAAUAAAAUUUGCCCCUUCCUGCA